AGUUCAGAGAAGAGGUCGGGAGCAGCUGGACGAUAGAGAACAGUCCUCCUACCAGCAGCCCUAGGGCCCUCGGCUGGCGCAGGUUCUGCUUUCUCGCGGGAAACGCUCCCCUACAUAUGCUCGCUCACAGCCCACCGCCCCGCGCCGCUGCAGCUUCUGUGCCCCGGAAAGCCUCUCCAGCAGCCUGGCAGUGCUCGAGGUGAGCACAGCGUUUCGGCCUCCCGAGCCUGCCUACUCCUCGUGGCGAUGUCUGACAGCUAGGUCAGCGGCGCGACGUCCAUGGGGGCCCUGCGCGCUGAGCGCGACGUCCAGCCCGAGCGCGGUCCCUAAGCGGGCCAGCCUUGGCCUGGGGCGCCGUCUGAAUUGGGCGCUGGCUGCACACUCAGCUGGCCUGGAAUGCCCUGGACGGCACCUGCCUGCUUGACUUCUGCCUCUACCAUCUGGUCUGGCAUUUCGCCCCAGGCUGAUGAUAAGAAGGUGCCAGGAGGCCCUGGGACACCGCGCAGGAGCACGGCGGGAGCCAUACUGGGGCAUAGCCCUGGACUGCCUCUCUGAACUGGCCUGCUCUGGGGAAGAGUGCCCUGCUUCUUUGUGCUACGAUCAUGCUUGACUCACUGGGCAAUAUUGUCUUGUCUUUCCUUUCUCUUUCUUUUUAUGGAUAUAGUAGCCCUCAUUCACUCUAGACCUGUCCUAUGAAUUGUAUGGGGAGGCUGGGCCCUGGGAAGCUUUCCCUCGGCUUUUAGAAUCUCAACCCCCUUGUGGUCAUCCAAGCUUUCCAAAAAGGAAAGACAUUUCUUUUCUUUUUGUUUUUCUUUCUUUUCUUUUUUUUUGACAUGGUCUUGCUCUGUUGCCCAGACUGGAGUGCAGUGGUGUGAUCAUAGCUCACUGAAACUUUCUGGGCUCAGGUGAUCCUCCCACCUCAGCCUCCCAAGUAGCUGGGACUACAGGUGCAGUGCCAUCACUCCCGACUCAUUUUUAUGUUUUUUGUGGAGACGGGGCUUCACUAUGUUGCCCAGGCUGGUCUCGAGCUCCUCGGCUCGAGCGAUCCGCCCGCCCCGGCCUUCCAAAGCGCUGGGAUUACAGGCAUGAGCCACUGUGCCUGCCCAAGCUUGUGAUUUUAUAUGCUCAGGAGCAAAAAUCUGGUCCCGAAGUGGCUGUACCCAGUGUCAAAGAAGGGCAUAUUCACUUUGUGAAAGAUGUGCGGGAGGAAUUCCAGGGGUUUUUCUCUCCUGCUUCGCAGGUAGUAGCGUUGGCACAGCUUGGAUGGCCACACCGCGGUUGAGAUUCUAAAAACCGAGGGAAACCUUCCCGGGGCCCAGACAAUUACAGGACAGGUCUGGAGUGAGCGAGGACUAUCUCCAUAAUAAGUGAAUUCCUGCCAGUGCCGGGACAGAGCAUGGGGUUCGAGCUUCGCCCACCUGUCCCGCACUGCCUGGGACUGAACAAGGCAUGGACCUUCGCUGAGCCUCUCAGGCAAGCUCCGACCUCCCCGGUGCUUCCGGGUGAAACCCGCGGUGGUCUAAACAGUUGAGGCAGGCGACGAUCCAUGAGGGUUGUUGGACCAGUGCGGACGCGUCUUGGAGUUCGGGUCGAAUCCUGAGUGGAGGCUGUAGCGCGGACGCGGCUUCCGUUUCCCCGGCGAUGGUGUCCUGGACUGAAGAGACUGACUGGAGUGCAUGUUACUGCCGACAAAGUUUCAGAACACCGGCCAGCGCAAGACCACCGACAUCAGACUGAGAUACAACGGCAGCGAUCCUGGAUUUGCAGGGCCAGGAUAAACAAGGGACUGUAGAGACCAUUUUGUCCCAUUCAUUAAUUUUUAGGCAGAACACAGAUCUAGAGAGAAUAGAUGACUUGCCCCAAGCUACCCCGCGAAGGAGGAGGAGGGCCACGGAUAAAUAGUGUGCUUCGAGAAUCUUAACUCUUCGGGGUCAACCUCUCCUUCUACGCCAAGGAAACAGGAUCUUCCUGCAACCCCCCGAGACAACCACCGAACAGUCACCCAACUUAGCACUAGGGCCCAGACGUUCCGUCGAUCGAAUGUACCACGCUCGAUUUCUAGGUCUUUAGCACAACGCAGGAUAAGUCGAUUGGUCGUCCCUGCCGGUCGCUGCUGAGCGCUGAUUGGCUCCGGCUUGGGAAGCGGCAGAAAAGGCCGGCGUGUGGGGCGGGCCUGGGGAAGGGACUCCCGCGGCCCUAAGGUGCUGGCGGGCGUUUGGCGUUGCAGCUGUGUGGGCGCUGGUGCGUGCGAGUAGCGCUCGAAGAAACCCAAAGGCGUCGUGGGGCUGCCGUGUGCCCCAGAGAGCACUGCAGGCCGGGUAGGGGCUAAGGCUCCCCGCAGUCUUCUGUGUGUCGUCCAGUACGCAGUUGAAAUCGUUCUCCAACCUGGCCAGUCCUCCGAGGCCCUUCUCAGGCGACCAGACUCUGUUAACAGAGUCCAUUGCUAAAACUCCUCGUUAGUAUUUACCACUCCUCCAGUCUGUGUUUUGAAGCAGUGGUUUUCAACCACUGCCCGUUUUCAGAAGAAAUCAUCUCAAGCGUCCGUGUGCUGCUAGAAGCCGGGCCGGGAGGUCUUGGUGCCGGACUCCACCCUGCAGCCCUUCCCUUUCGCCACCGCCCUGUGCUUAGAGAAACCUUAGAGUGGAGCAAUGAGUCGCCCUUGACUGAGUAACUCUUCGGGGUCAACUUCUCCUUCCACGCCAAGGAAAGGAUUCCAGGGCGAUGUUUCUGGAAAUAGAGAUCUGACCAAGCCACUGCUCUGGUGAAAAUUCAGUGGGUCCCUAGCACCUAGUGCAGCGGCUCCUAGCCUGAGUAUUGCCGUCUUUCGGUGGGGAGGGGUUGGGUUUUUUUGUAGCAUCUGUUGAUCUGAUCUCCAACAUCCUCCACGUCAAUUCCCACUCCACCCACAUCCCUUAUCCUAUACGUAAGCUUUCCAGCCACGGUGCUGGCUUGGGUGGGGGUGCGUGCGGUGCUGACACCAAAAUGGAGGUCCCGUGUUUCUGAGAGUCUCUUUCAGAGCAAUGCAAACCUGAAACUACUCCUGCCAAGAAACGAUUGCAGCUCUUCCCGGAAAAGUUAAAGCCUUUGAGAAACAAAGCUGAGUAAGAAGGAGAACUAAGAAAGAGACUGAAGCAUGGUCUGUGGAGAAGGCACUUGUGCAAACACCAGGAGAAUGAGGGGCCUGAGUUGUCUUCGUUUCUCCUAAAAGCAUGCAUUCCCGGCUGGGCGCGGUGACUCAUGCGUGUAAUCCCGCCACUUUAGAAGGCUGAGGCAGGCGGAUCACCUGAGAUCGGGAGUUCGAGACCAGCCCGACCAACAUGGAGAAACCCCAUCUCUAUUAAAAAUACAAAAUUACCCAGGCAUGGUGGCACAUGCCUGUAAUCCCAGCUACUUGGGAGGCGAAGGCAGGAGAAUUGCUUGAACCCAGAAGGCGGAAGCUGCAGAGAGCCGAGAUUUCGCCAUUGUACUCCAGCCUGGGCAACAAGAGUGAAACUCCAUCUCAAAAAACAAACAAACAAACACACAAACAAACAAACAAACACAUUCCCUCCCAGGCCACCCAAGUGAGGGCAUGAAGCACAGCGUGUGUGUGUGUGUGUGUGUGUGUGUGUGCACGCGUGUGUGCAUAUGUGUGUUUGUGUGUUGCAGGGGUUACAGUGGACAGGAUGUGGGAGGGCAGCUGCAGCUCCAAGCUGCAAGUCUUUCUGAUAGAAUGCUUAAAACUCCUUGGACCACAGCAAGAGAGUGUUUUCAUUUGCACCCAUUUUUAUUAGCGUUUGAACCUGUACUUUUUGUAGCAUGUAAACCUUAAGCUGCUUAACUAUUCCUUGAAGCAUUUACACCAGCGGUUCCCAACCUUUUUGCUACCUGAGACCAGUUUUCUUGAAGACAAUUCUUCCACGGACCCGGGAGAAGGGGAAGGGAUGAUGUGGAGAUGAUUCAAGCCCAUUACAUUUAUUGUGUGCUUCAUUUCUAUUAUUUCACUGUAAUAUAUAAUGAAAUAAUUACACAACUC
rnacentral:lncRNA from 10 species